rnacentral:rRNA from 1 species
CUUAGUGGCGGACGGGUGAGUAACGCGUGAGGAACCUGCCUUUCAGUGGGGGACAACAGUUGGAAACGACUGCUAAUACCGCGUAACGUACUGGUAUCGCAUGGUACUGGUACCAAAGAUUUAUCGCUGAGAGAUGGCCUCGCGUCUAAUUAGCUAGUUGGUAGGGUAACGGCCUACCAGGGCGACGAUCAGUAGCCGGACUGAGAGGUUGGCCGGCCACAUUGGGACUGAGAUACGGCCCAGACUCCUACGGAAGGCAGCAG